AUGAAGAUCACUAGAAGCAGAUUUUUUGUUGCUGUAUUAGCCUUGGUUCUGAUUCACUUUCUUCUAUUCUCUUGUUGUUGUCACCACCAUGAUCAAAGGUUUUCAAGAAAGAUAGGUUUGCAAGGGUCAAGGGAGCUUCUAUCUUCAUCUUUUGCAACAAGUUUUGGUAAAAUAAAUGGAAGCAAAAAUCAGAACAGGAAAGUUGUGGAACCAAAUUUGAGGAUAGCACCACCAAGCAUCCCAAAUCCUACUCAGAACAAGUAG